CAAUUAAUCACCUUGAUUAGCAUUGAAUGGCCUUGCAGCUUCAAGGCCUGGCUGCCAACUGGUUGGUAGAAUCCUUUGUUGGGAGGUGUUAGCUGGCCCUGAUUGUUUCUUGUCUGGAAUUCUCCUGUUUUCUGAGUGUUGUUCUUUAUUUACUGUCCUGAUUUGAGAGUUCUUUUUUAAUACUGGCAGCCAGAUUUUGUUCAUUUUCAUGGUUUCCUCCUAUCUGUUGAAAUUGUCCAUAUGCUUGUGGAUUUCAAUAGCUUCUCUGUGUAGUCUGACAUGUUUGUUGUCAAACAAAUGCUGGACCACUGGAACAACACACCUGGUAGCCAGGUUUUGUUCGUUCAUUGUUUCCUUCUUUCUGUUGAAACCUACAAACUAUCUACAGACCCACUAAGAAAAUCCAACAAAUGUUAUGUUCAGCAAACGACAAGAGGGAUCCUCUCACCUCUGCAGGAGUCUACCAUACACCAUGCAGCUGUGGACAAGUCUACAGAGGGACCACCAAGCACAGCGCUGCCCAAACACGAAACAAGGAACAUGAAAGGCACUGCAGAAAAGCCAGCCAUCACAGAGCACUUGAUGAACCAACCUGGACACAGCAUAUUAUUUGAGAACUCAGAAAUGCUGGACCACUCUAACAACCACCAUGUCAGGCUACUCAGAGAAGCCAUUGAAAUCCACAAGCAUGUGGACAAUUUUAACAGAAAGGAGGAAACCAUGAAAAUGAACUUAUGGAACAAUUCCAUCAGCGUUGCCUUCAAAAAGUCCUGCAAAUCUUUUGGGAAGACAGGUAGACAAACGUCAGCAUUCUGGAAGAAGCAAAGAUCACCAGCAUCGAAGCCAUGAUUCUCCACCAUCAAUUUCACCAGACCGGCCACGUUGUCCAAAUGCCUAAUCACCAUCUCCCAAAGCAGUUCCUUUACUCUCAGCGUAAGAACGGAAAAUGGAAGGUCAGUGGGCAGCACUGAGAUUUCAAGAUGACCUUGAAGCUAACCUCAGAAAGUGAGACAUAAACACCGAGAACUGGGAAGCCCUGGCCCUGGAGCCUUCUGACUAGAGGCCAGCUAUUCCCAACAGUGCUGUGGAUUUUGAAGAGGCACAAAUGAGAGAAAUGUGCAAAGAGGAAGAAGGCGCCUCAAGCAAACCCUUGUCGAGAAAUGUAUGUCCUCACUGUGAAAGACCGUGCGGAUCCAGAAUGGACCCACCACCAAGACUCUGCCCCUGGAAGACCAUCAUACUCGGCACUAGCGAUUGUUUAUGAUUAUUCUUUUAUAAACAGACUGCUCUGAUAUACCACCUUUUGUCAUAGAGAAGAACCCACCCAAUUAGCUAGGAGGUCAAGGAUGAAGAAUGUAAGACCCUCCAGAGGUUGUGUCUCCUAUCAGUCAUAUCCAACAUAACUGCAAAUGAAGGGAAAUUGCAGCUAAACAUGUUCCUUGAAAGUGUGGUAUCUACCACCAAGCUCCCUGCAGUUUACAAAAGUAAGAGCUUUCCCUUAUUUUGUCUAAUGUACCCUGAUAUUAGCGAAGUAAGGUAGCCGGAAAACUUGCGCAUUGUCCUCAAGUUAAUAUGGUAUACCAUAUUAAUUACUAAAGGAAUAGUAUGAUUAACUUAAUAACUACUUUUACAUUAUAUACUUUAUAACAGAACAAAGAGUAAGACAAAAGAAAAGGAAGGAAUAGAGGAAAAAUGCCUUCAUCCCCUUUGUUUAUCACAAGCAUUGAAGUCCCCAUUAAUUUCUUGGCAUUGCUGUAUCAAUGAUUGAUGCUUAGGGUUGCAGCUAAUUUGACCCUCCCCCAUAAUGUAUCUGUAACUAUCGAUAAUUCACAUUGUUUUUGUUCUUUGUGUGAGCAUGGUGAUGGCCUUUGUUUGUUACCUUUUGCUUCCUGUUUGCUUUGUGGGUUCUAUUUUGUGACCUUCUACUUCUAACUUUUUGUCAUGUCUAUUUCAUUUGAUUUGACAUUAUAUACAUUAUAACAGAAAGAAAGAAAGAUAAGAAAAAAGAAAGGAAAAAUAGAGAAAAAAGAGAGAAUAGCCUUAAUCCCCUUUGUUUAUCACUAACAUCGACUCCCCAUUAAUUUCUAGACAUUGUUCUGUUGAUAGUUGUUUUUCUUCAAGAUGGAGCCUUCUUUUCUGUGGCCUUUUCCAUUAGCGAUUCCUCUUCAAACUUGCAGCAACAGUAGCAGCCAUCUGUGCUUUUGUUUUUCCGCAGUCAGGGGUUUUCAGUCCCACCUGGGCACAAAUGGCAGUCAAUUCUUGUCUCGUUGUCAUCACCAAAGUCCUGUCGCUGUUCCGUCCCACAAUCUUCAAGGGAAAGAAGUUUGACUCGGUUUAUUUGAUCAUUCAGCUUGUUUUUUUUAGUUGUUGAAUCACUCCCUGCAUAUUAUGGAGCUUUUCUUCAUGUCUUAGACAUAUUUCCAAAGCUUCUCCUGCUGUUUUGAUUAUGUCUGCUGUCGGAGCAGUGAUUUUCUUCCCCUCUUCUUGAAGAGGUCUUCCCUUUCUGACAGGGUCAGCUUGGAUUUCCUGUUUUAAUUGUUUGAAAUGCUCCAUUCUUCCCGAGUUUCUCUCAUCCCUAGUUGUGUCAUCUCUUCUUGUUGUCCUUCCACCUGAUAUGCCUUGCCUUCUCUGUUUUAUUCUUCACUCCCUCAGUGAAGUCUCUUUCAUCCACAGUCUAUGCUUGUUCUUUCUUGCCUCUUGUGGAUGGUUGAUGCUUUCUUGGCAUCUUUCCUUUUUUCUUUUCUGGUGAUUUCUUGUCCAGCUCCAAGUUUUCCCUCUUAAAGUGGAUGAGUACUUGGAGAAGUGGAGCGAUGCUACCAUCUCCCAAAAUGGCAAAGAUGCCCGUGGCUUCUGGCUGGUGGAAGGAAAUGCCUCCCAAAGGAAAGGUGAGUUUUGGGGAAGAUGAUAUGGGAGACCCUGUUGCAUUGAAGAUGGUGGCCGUUCUGCAGUGGUCUUUCCUCCAAGCGGGAAGAAAAGACAGACAUCUCACUUGAAUGUCUUUCAUAGGCACUACCGUUCUAGUAGGAAAGGAGACUCACUCGAAAGGGCCCCCAAGCCCUCUGCCGUAGCCCUUCAUUCGCUCUUUCCUUCUUCCGUAUCCCUGUUCUGUCAUGGCGACUUCACGGCACCAACUGUCGACCACCAACUGUUCUUCCGAUGGGCUGUCAGUCACCCUCCCAGCAUUCCAUUCACUCCCCAUCUGCCCUCCUGACCAAGACAUGAAAGAGCACUUCCCAGAUCAAACCCGUGACAUCAGAUAUAGCAAGAGAGGAAAGACAGAAUAAAAUUUAUAUGUAUCGUAAAGGCGCUUUUGAAUCAAGUGAAAUGAUCAUGAGGCUGUCCAUCAAACAAGCUGAUGAGAAAGAGAAAGAAACAACAAGAAAGCCACUACCAGAUUUUUCUGUCUUUGAAAAUGUAUUACGAGAGAAGCUUCACAACGGUUAGCCACUGUGUUCCUGCUGUCCCAUCUGUCUUCCAACUGACCGUGGGGACCUCCUAGAUGCCAUCAAGGUUGCCCUACAUGUCUCAGCCACUCCCAAGAUACUGGGACCAUGGAAAAGGAACUAUUAUUCUGUCCUUACCUCAAGCACCACCAUGCCAGGCUCCUGGAUUACAGUGAUGUUUUUAAAAACUUUCAGAGCUGAUUUUUCCU